AUUCUGUUCAACACACACAGAUCAAUUAUAAUCUGAAAUAGGGAAAAAAAAAAUUCAAAUUUUCCUUAGAAUAUCACAAAUUAAUCACUUUUGUUGCAUUCAACUCAAUGCUUAAAAAAGCAACAUUAUGGUCUUCCUUGCAAAUAGAAUGCCCCUAUUUAUUUAUUUCACAGCAGUAUGCAUACAAUGGUGGCAUAGCCAUUUCUACAUUUUGAAAGAAAUUGGAUAUUGCCACCUCGUCAAGUCUCCAAAAUGAUAAAACUAAAAAAUGAUUAUAAUGUAAUCAACUAAUAUGCAGCAGCAGCAGCGGCAACUGCUCACCAUUAGUAAAAUUUGCCUAGAUUUUCCCAAGCCAAACCCAGUCUACAGUUAUGGCCAGGCUGGAUUUCCACCAUAGACUUAAUGGUACCUACCAGUCCAGUUUGAUUGCUGGCUUAAUCAAAGACCCAGUGGAUUACCAACACAUUUUUUAUCAAUUCUCAUGAAAAUGAAAAACUAGUAUCAUAAAUAGUAAAUUUAUUUAAACAUUACAGGUGUAUAUUUUA
rnacentral:misc_RNA from 1 species